rnacentral:rRNA from 1 species
UACGUAGGCAGCAAGCGUUGUUCGGAGUUACUGGGCGUAAAGGGUGCGUAGGCGGCUUCUUAAGUCUGGUGUGAAAUCUCCCGGCUCAACUGGGAGGGUGCGCCGGAUACUGUGGGGCUAGAGUGUGGGAGAGGAAAGUGGAAUUCCUGGUGUAGCGGUGAAAUGCGUAGAUAUCAGGAGGAACACCUGUGGCGAAAGCGGCGCACUGGACCACAACUGACGCUGAGGCGCGAAAGCUAGGGGAGCAAACAGG